GCAGCCGCGGUAAUACGUAGGUGACAAGCGUUGUCCGGAUUUACUGGGUGUAAAGGGCGUGUAGGCGGGAUAGCAAGUCAGUCGUGAAAUACCGAGGCUCAACCUCGGGGCUGCGAUUGAAACUGUUAUUCUUGAGUAUCGGAGAGGAAAGCGGAAUUCCCAGUGUAGCGGUGAAAUGCGUAGAUAUUGGGAGGAACACCAGUGGCGAAGGCGGCUUUCUGGACGACAACUGACGCUGAGGCGCGAAAGUGUGGGGAGCAAACAGGAUUAGAUACCCC
rnacentral:rRNA from 1 species